GCAAAAUCACCAUGAUACAUAAUUUAUACUGGGUUAAGUUACCCUUUGUGGAAAGUAGGUGAGCUGGACAAGUGUUAAACAGGGCUUCAGCCUCACUGUUGUCAAUGGUUAUAAUGGGGAGAUUUUUCCCAGAAUGGACAAGGCUUAACAAAUCACUGCACAGUUACAUGUUCUAACGGCUUUGGGUGGUCUGAACAACUUUGCACAAGCUAAAUCAGAAGUGAAUUAAAAGAUAUUAGGAGAAUGCAAGAGUUAAAAUGUUGGCUUGAUUGUCUGGAAUUAUUUUGAUCCCAGAAAGAUUUGAAAGGGAAAGGCAGAACUGGAAGCUAAAUGAAAGGAAAACAGGGGAGGUUGAAAUGUGUUGCUCGCUAUUAGAACUUAAUUUCACUUCUGCAAAGGAAGCAAGGAACCUCAAUUUAUGAGGGGAUUGUGAGGGCCUUUGCAAGGGGCUGUAUUGAAUUUCAGAAAGCAUUUUACAAGAAGGAAGCCUGCCACAAUCUUGUGCUAUAGGACUUCCUUUGGAAGCAUAUAUUUCUUCCCCAUAAGUCUUUUGAACAGUUUUAUACUGCACAUGUUUCAAGAGAAUUAAAUCAAUAACAAUCUGUACCUUUCUAACCUGAAAUGCAAGCUCUGCAUGGCAGGAGAUCAAGCUAUGCAAUUAACUGUUGUCCUUUCAAAGGAAUUCUGACAGAUAUUUAUAGUUUACUGUAUUCCUUUUUCCUGCCAUUGGAAUAUAACAGUACAACUGAAUGCAGCUGACUGGAACUAUGAAAUAAUUAUAGCAAUAACUAUUUCCUUCUCUACUGGGGAGAUCUUGUAAAGUGCUGAAUGUGGGAACUUCUGAUGUUCUUACCCCUCAGAAUUCGGUCCUUGCUUCCAGUUUAUCAUGCAUCUACUGAUAAGU